rnacentral:tRNA from 2 species
GGAGAGCUGGCCGAGCUGGCCGAAGGCAGCUGCCUGCUAAGCAGUUGUAGGGGUAAAACUCUACCGCGGGUUCGAAUCCCGCCCUCUCCGCCA